rnacentral:rRNA from 1 species
UACGUAGGGAGCAAGCGUUGUCCGGAAUUAUUGGGCGUAAAGCGCGCGCAGGUGGUUUCUUAAGUCUGAUGUGAAAGCCCACGGCUCAACCGUGGAGGGUCAUUGGAAACUGGGAGACUUGAGUGCAGAAGAGGAAAGUGGAAUUCCAUGUGUAGCGGUGAAAUGCGUAGAGAUAUGGAGGAACACCAGUGGCGAAGGCGACUUUCUGGUCUGUAACUGACACUGAGGCGCGAAAGCGUGGGGAGCAAACAGG